GGGUCCCUGGAGAACUAGUGGUUAGGCCACAGCGCUCUCACUGCUGAGGCCCAGGUUCGAUUCCCGGCCAUCCCCA